rnacentral:lncRNA from 1 species
GGUAUACCCAAUUAUAAAGAGCAACAGGUAAUAAACUUAUUUGAUCGCUGUCAGAAACUCGGUCCCGGAGCCUGCUGGGUUCAGUCAAAGUUAUUGUCUCGUAAAAAGUGAUUAAUAAAAAGAGAAUUAAUAAGUCUCGGGAGGACAAGAGAGUGGUUGAUGCUGGAGGGUGUCGAGCACGUGUAAGCCUAUACUACCUGAGAGCCAAACUCACCUUUGCGCGUAUAGUACGGGUGUGGUAUUUUUUUUCCCGUCGUUCCCGAGACCUACUUUUGGAUCCGCUGAUCCGAGUGCCGCUCCUCUUGUUGGUUGUUGGUUGUUGGUUGCUGGGAAGCCAAAGCCAAAGCCAAAGCCUCUAUAUAGAUACAUAUAUCAAAUUGUAUACAUAUACACCCAAGUAAAGUAUGAAGAGCGCAGAAAGGACCAUGCACAACUCCCUUGUACCUGCUCCGCGAAACGUGUUGGUAUCUUCGUGGUCUUUAGUCUUGCCUUUUUUUAUUAACUUCUAUCUCUUUCUUGGCCUGCUGACGUUCUGACUAUAAUUGAUUGCACACGCGCGCACUACACCCUGUACUCCAAGGUCCAUUUAUUUAUUGCUAUCUAAGUGCAUCAUCAGUGUCCACGGUGAGUACAUCUUUUCCCCACUUUUCUUGCAAAUAUAUGUACAUAUAUGAAGAUUUUUGUAUGUACCUAUACACUGUAUAUUCUUUUUUCUUAUCUUCAGCUCACGGGACUUGCGGGUUCUCUGGUUCUCUUGCGUUCGAGCUACUUUGCUCCAAGAUUCUGGACAUUAUAUUAUUAUGCCUGAUAUUAUUCUCCAAUAAAAUUUCAAUUAAAAAAAUUUAAUACUAAACAAAGAAAAGAGACUGAUUAUCAGCUUUAUCAUCUUCAACCUCUACUUUUUCCGUAGACUUGCCGCAAAAAAAGGGGUUUUUUUUUGUUACCAUCGUUGAUAAAAAAAGUUCUCGCAGAUGCUUCGACGAAAUUUCCAGUUACUUCUGGACAAACCAGCUGGUGCUUAAAUUUUAUUUUGAAAAUUGUUUUAAUGAAAACUGGAAAGUUGUUGCUAAAAAUUCUAAGCGAUAAAUAGUAAUGCAAGAUAUUACAGUCAUUAUAAUUUUUUAGGUUUGGUUGACAGUUUUGGGUGGAUAAAAGAAAAAACGCAGAGAAGGAAGGAGGAUAAUUUUCAUUACCGCAAAGAUAAAAUAAAAGGAAGAAUGAAAUAAAAAUGGUCAUCAUUAGGUUUUAAUGCAAAUGACAUUGGGUUUUUAAGUGCCGAGGAUGCUGAGAUGCCUCUGGGGAAUUAUAUCAUGCAAAUGAUCCCAGAAUGAUAUGAAAUUCAGGCUAACAGGUCAUCCAGCCACAUCCAUGCGUGUUUAUCUAACUUAAGAUACUUAUUUAUGAAUUUUUAUUGUCUUCUUUAUUUUAUUUACAUUCUUCCAAAGUAUCGAUUUAAAAACUGUGCCAACAAGAAAUUAAAAAUAAAAUACAGUUUGCAGUUGAUGAUGCAGUUUAAUGAGUCAACUCUAUUUUUAAUUGAUUCCGCUGCAAUAUCUUUAUUUAUUUCUAUUUGAAUUUAAUCUCUUUUAACGGUACUUCAUGGUAUUCCUGGUAAUGUUGCCACCGGAUGGUAUUGUCAUUGUUACAGUACCGAUCUCAGAUCCUUGGGAUCCUCAAGUUAAGUGGAAGAAGUAGACCAGAAAUAAAUAAAAAUGAACAUAAGUUUAAAAAAAAAAAAUCUUUCUAUGAUGCUAACUGUUCUUUCGACUUCGUAGGGAACCUUUACGAAAUUUUUUUUUUGUUGAAACUAAUUGGGAUAUUCGAAACUUUUGGGGUCCUGAGGAAUUUUAAUAUCUACUGUUCUGGAUUAGUAUGUCAACCUUUAUUAUUGUUAUUGAUUUUAAAUCAAAAUACGAUUUUACUUCAGCUACUGGAAACUCAGCCGACCUUCAAAAUUAUCUAACGGUCAAUGACACGAAAAUUUUUUAUUAUGCUUUAAAAAUCUUGGAAUUUUCGGUAUUUUCAUGAGCAUCAAUAAAAUUUAAAACUUCUCAAGAUUUUUUCUCUUCAUUCCAAUGCAAUUGGAAAAUAUAUGCCUGUAAAUCAAAAUGAAGAAAAUAGGGUAUAAAAAAUUUAUUUUCUAUUGAUCAGAUUGAUCUAUGGAUCUGAUGUAAAUACAAAGGCUUACUCAUAUACUUCUAAAAAAAAAAAAGAAGAAAUACGUCAUAUAUCAAUUCAGUAAACCUCUAUUAAUAUAACACUAUCUGACAGUUAAAACUGAUUGGUCCAGACAACAUAAAUUCCAUCGGAUGGACCCAAGUGACCCUAAUAUAAGUCGAUGCCUAUUCGAAUGCCGCUAUCCCCCAGACGUAAAUAUAUAUAUUUAUCCAUCCAUCCAUCCACAUAUAUAGAUGAAAUACAACCCGUGUAAACAAUCCAGGAUUCGAUUGAAAAUCCUAAGGUAAGUUUUUACCUAAAAUAAAACUAGCCU